UACAGAGGGUGCGAGCGUUAAUCGGAAUUACUGGGCGUAAAGCGCGCGUAGGCGGCUUUGCAAGUCGGGUGUGAAAUCCCCAGGCUUAACCUGGGAACUGCAUUCGAGACUGCAUUGCUAGAGUAUGGGAGAGGGAAGUGGGAUUUCCGGUGUAGCGGUGAAAUGCGCAGAUAUCAGGAGGAACACCUAUUGCGAAGGCAGCUCGCUGGGACGUUACUGACGCUGAGACGCGAAAGCGUGGGGAGCAAACAGG
rnacentral:rRNA from 1 species